rnacentral:rRNA from 1 species
CAGCAGCCGCGGUAAUACAGAGGGUGCAAGCGUUAAUCGGAAUUACUGGGCGUAAAGUGCGCGUAGGUGGUUUGUUAAGUUGGAUGUGAAAUCCCCGGGCUCAACCUGGGAACUGCAUCCAAAACUGGCAAGCUAGAGUAUGGUAGAGGGUGGUGGAAUUUCCUGUGUAGCGGUGAAAUGCGUAGAUAUAGGAAGGAACACCAGUGGCGAAGGCGACCACCUGGACUGAUACUGACACUGAGGUGCGAAAGCGUGGGGAGCAAACAGGAUUAGAUACCCCAGUAGUCCCUGUCUCUUAUAC